rnacentral:misc_RNA from 1 species
ACGAAUCGUGAUUGGUGAUGUUGAUAAUGUCACCAAACAUAUGUGCUCUCCAGGCAACUGGAGGUGCAAAACAUAUCAUAUAUAUGAUGUAGUGUAUUAUUAUCUAGUGAAUGUCAGUUGAUUGUCUCACCAAGUGAUACAGUCAAAUGUAAUCAAAUG